rnacentral:tRNA from 1 species
AGGGGCGUAGCUCAAUUGGCAGAGCGCUGGUCUCCAAAACCAGAGGUUGAGAGUUCGAUUCCCUCCGCCCCUGCUA